GCUGGAGUUGGGUGGCAUGGCAGACUCACCCUGCAGCUCUGACACAGGGCAGGGAGGAACUGCCAGCAGACUCAGCUCCAGC
ensembl:miRNA gga-mir-1614 gga-mir-1614